GUGGAUUUUAUGGUUGUUUGCAACAGGUUUUUGCUGCUAUUUUAGAGGUCGUUUUGACUGAAGAAACGGAGCUAUUUUCAAGCUUGUUUUGAUGUGUUUUGAACUGAUUUUGAUGGCUGAAAUACUGGAGCUUCAAGGCUGGUUUUGAUGGUGAAAAGUUCGUUGUUUUCUGGUUUGAGAAGAAAGAAAGAAGGAGAUACGUUGGGGAGGGGGUGUUCUACCCGUGUAUAUCCGCGGUAUAUCGAGUGUAUAUCGAAGGUAUACCCUGUCCGCGUUUUUGGGAAGGGGGGUGUUCUUUUGCCAGAAAAAUGGGUAGUGGUUGGGUGGUUUGAAGAAGAUGAAGAGAGGAGAGGGGGCUGGUGUCUAAGGUGUUCUGCCCGUGU
rnacentral:lncRNA from 1 species